rnacentral:tRNA from 1 species
GGGGUCGUAGCUCAGCCUGGUCCAGAGCGCCGGGUCGUCAACCCGGAUGUCGCGAGUUCGAAUCUCGUCGGUCCCG